UAGGGAAUCUUCGGCAAUGGACGAAAGUCUGACCGAGCAACGCCGCGUGAGUGAAGAAGGUUUUCGGAUCGUAAAACUCUGUUGUUAGAGAAGAACAAGGACGUUAGUAACUGAACGUCCCCUGACGGUAUCUAACCAGAAAGCCACGGCUAACUACGUGCCAGCAGCCGCGGUAAUACGUAGGUGGCAAGCGUUGUCCGGAUUUAUUGGGCGUAAAGCGAGCGCAGGCGGUUUCUUAAGUCUGAUGUGAAAGCCCCCGGCUCAACCGGGGAGGGUGAUUGGAAACUGGGAGACGUGAGUGCAGAAGAGGGGAGUGGAAUUCCAUGUGUAGCGGUGAAAUGCGUAGAUAUAUGGAGGAACACCAGUGGCGAAGGCGGCUCUCUGGUCUGUAACUGACGCUGAGGCUCGAAAGCGUGGGGAGCAAACAGG
rnacentral:rRNA from 1 species